rnacentral:rRNA from 1 species
UACGUAGGGUGCAAGCGUUAAUCGGAAUUACUGGGCGUAAAGCGUGCGCAGGCGGCUUUGCAAGACAGAUGUGAAAUCCCCAGGCUUAACCUGGGAACUGCGUCUGAUACUGGAUGGCUUGAGAUUGGGAGAGGGAUGCGGAAUUCCAGGUGUAGCGGUGAAAUGCGUAGAUAUCUGGAGGAACACCGGUGGCGAAGGCGACAUCCUGGACCAACACUGACGCUGAGGAGCGAAAGCCAGGGGAGCAAACGGG